GUGAAAUCGAAAGUAAAUCUCAAGGGACCGGCGUUCGGGCAGGAACAUUUCGGACGUUUUGUGAAGGCCAAGGCUUCUUCCUCUGUCAGUGGUUCUCUGAUCUCUAUCAACAUGUCUGCUAGUGUUGGAGCAGAAAUGGAUCCACAGAUCUGAUUGGUCCAUGUAGCUGCUAAAAGAUGGAUUUCCCUCAAGAGCUUGAGGUCGCUGUCAGUGGAAAUCAGACAGGCAGAGCAGCAUGUGCUGUGUCCAGCCAUGUGUCCCUGAAGAAUGACGAGCCUGUUCCUGAUGGACAUCAGGGGGUCAGCACAGGAAGAGUGCUGUCUUAUAUACCACAGUCACACAGACCAGUGUCUCCAGUGCCCAGCUGUGUGUCUAUGAAGAGUGACUGGUCCAUGGGAAACCCUCUCAAUUUCAGUAGUGGACCACCACAGUCUGAUCAAAG